UAGCUGGGGCAAUUGUCAGCCUCCAGCCAGAGUUGCAUUGCUUUUGUCUGAUUCUUAUUUACAUAGACAUUUUCUAGCCCAUUAAAUAUAGUCAUAUAGUCUUGUAGCCAAAGUCUACAGCAGGCAGAGGUACACAGCUCCAGAAAAAAGAAGGUACCAGAAAGAUGACAAUCCAACUGGUGGACAUCCUGUUACUCAAAAGCCAUGUCUGCAUAAAUUUCACACUCACUGCAGAAAAGGGAAAGGUGAGAGACCUCUUCAAAUCUGGCAAUGCAACAAAGCUUCUGGGAUGUCAACCUAAAGUGCUGGCAACACACAUAUUAUCAAACUAAUUUUGAGUUCUAGGAGAACUUCCAGACUGACAGAUGUAACCUUAGCUACAAAUCAGUCACUGUGAUUCACACUUCUGUGAGCAGUCAACUGUAUCAAGAUCUGUGUCUCUGAUUGCAAAGUCUGGGUGAGACCAAUAACUCCAAGGCAUGUGAAUAACCCAGACUCACAUGAACCAUUCUGUUGAAAGCAACAAAAAUGAAACAAAUGCCCUAAGGCAAAAAACCAAGAAUAAAGUCCUCUUGCCAUCAGAAGCAUUCUGGGAAAACAUAUUUUCUUAGCAAUGUCUUUAUAGUACUAAAAUUUGUCUAUCAGUUUAAAACAAAUUUUACUUCUGUUUUGCUGUAUCCCUUUAGUAGAUGACUGCCCAAAGCACUUGUGCCUGAUCAAUACCUGAAUUUCUCCAAAAACAUUGCUUUGUUUCAAGCAGCAUUCUUCAGCUCUGAACAGUAAAUCAUUUUCCCUCAUUUUUCCAUCAACUUAAAACAUUUUUAUCACAAAUUUUAUUUCUGCUAAAAACGAAUGAGUGAUUUAUUUCAGUUUGCUGUUAUCCUUGAAGUCUGGUGAUAGCUGCACUGCUCUUAGUGCCAGUGGUCUUUCAUAAAAUUAGUAGCUAGUAAUCCUCUUAUGCUUUGCUAUUUACAUGUGCCAAGUGCUGCACUCUGGAGCACACCAGGCUUCCAUUGCAGUGAAAAUCUCUCAUAAAUUAUUCCAUCAGUUUUAUUUUCUGAGAAAGUUAUUCAACUUUGUCCCAUUCAUUGCAAAGUUUGUAGUGGACAGAUUAUGUAAAAAGUACAUGCUGAAUAGACACCCCGCAGGAAAAAAAAUGUUUUAUUGA